ensembl:lncRNA
GGAGUUCCUGCCCAGCACGACCGACCGUGGCCAGGGGUUGGUCCGGGGCGCGGGAUAACGGAGCGGCAUAGCUCAAACAGAAAGAGGAAACCACAACCCAGAAAAGGAUAUUUGCAGCACACCUACCCACAAAUCAUUAAGGAUAAAGAAAUUCUACAGAUCAGUGGAAGACCGACAACCAAAUAGAAAACACGAGCAAAGGACUUGAAGACUUGAAGGUUACAGCAGCAAAGUCUGGAUCCUCUUCAGCUUCUGCUGCUGUUUGCCUGGGGAGAAUGGAGGUCCACAGACUGGUGGUAUAUCCAGGGUGGCUGUACAUCUAGACGUCCGGGGCGGGCCGAGCUGGUCCAGGCCCAAGCACUCCCGCACAUCACUCAGAAUCCUUCUGUAUCUGUUUCAUGAUUGCACACCUGCCAUCCGGGCUCAAGUAUUCUAAAGCUGCCACCUCCCCGAGCUGGACAAAUCAUGAAGCCAUGGGGUCCGGGAGGACACCCUACCAGGUGAAGAAUCUGAAGCUGAGGAGAUGAACCAGCUCCCCUAGAACCCAGCAAAGACCCCAGCAGAGCCAAUUACAAACAUGGGUCUCCCUCACCAUAUCAAGCUGCUUCUCAAUGACUAAGAACCUAUGUAUUUAUUUUUGAACAUUUUAAUCUUUAUUUUGAAGUCAGUUCAGACUUACUAAAGGUUACAGCAAUAGCAUCAAGUUCUCCCAUCCCUGCAUGCUAACAUCCUGUGUUAAAUCUAGGACGACGGUAGAAACCAAAGAGUUAACAUUUGUAUUCACAGAAGAAAUGUUCACAUAUUGAAGUAGGAGUUAGUCAUUCGGGCUUAUGUAUGAAGUGAAGUGAAGUGAAGUCGCUCAGUCGUAUCUGAUUCUUUGCGACCCCAUGGACUGUAGCCCACCAGGCCCCUCCAUCCAUGGAAUUUUCUAGGCAAGAGUACUGGAAUGGUUGCCAUUUUCUUCUCCACGGGAUCUUCCCAACCCAGGGGAUCAAACCCAGGUCUCCCGCAUUGUAGGCAGACGCUUUACUGUCUGAGCCACCAGGGAAUCCCUAGGCUUAUAUAUGAGUUGUGUUGAAUUUUAUGCUAAAACAGCCUGUUUGUGACCCAUCAGACAUACACUGUAUAUUUGCUUUAAUCACUAAAGAAAAGGGCAGACUGUCCAGAAGUUUAUAACAUCUGAAGAUAAGAGAUAAAUGCCUCCCUUCCUAGGAUGCCGAUGCUCAGACUCCUUGAUGAUAAGACUCCUCUCCCAGGGCCACCGGUGAACUGACUCUCUGUAUACUCGCUGAUCCAGUUUUUCUGAAACCCUGCAGGCAUGUAUCCCUGACUGGUUUGAUGUUCUUUGUUCUAAAAUGACAUAAAACAGCUGACAGCCAUGCUUCUUCCCAGAAGUUCCUCAGAGUCGUCUGAGUUAUUGUGUCUCUGGCUAUACUUCUCGGUUUGUCUCAAAUAAAGCCCUUUUCUAUCUCU